GUCAGCAGCCCCAGGUUAACAUAUCCUGGUUCGGCACCAUCCGUGUGAUUUACAGUCACCUGGGUCCUAGGCCCAGUGAUCACUGAUUGAAAGUGGUCGGGAAAGGGACCUCUGUGUCUGGUGUUUCACGCAUAUUAUCUCAUCCUUUAUGGCAGACCUGUUCUCAUCUCCAUUUGACUGGUGAAGAAAAUGCAGCUCAGAAAAGUUCAGCAAACUGCCCAAGGUGACGCAGAGCUCCCAGGAGAGGCUGGUGCUGUCACCCAGGACCACACUCUGACUAACCCGUUCUCAUCCUCUGGACUCUGAGGCACACUGUGUAGACAGCACCAGAGUCAAGGCUUGCUUACAGUGACACUGAUGAUAGAAGCCUCUACUGACAACUACAUCGUUGAUAUGAAGGGAGAAGACCAACCAAAGACUGCAGUCUGGACCUGCAGAAGGAGGUGGACACAGACCCAACCCAAAAUCAUCACCAGCCCAUGUGCUGCAAGCAAAUUUAAGACAGAAUGAAUAUUGAAAUCAGUAAAGACUUGAAUUUAAAUCUCAGCUUUGCUAUUUAUUAGCUGUGAGAAUUUGGGUUGUCACUUUGCCUCUCAGAGCCUCCAUUUUCCUUUCUGUAAAAUGGGAACAAUAUCACAGUGUUCCAAAGGGCCAGUGGGAUGAUACAAUGAAAUGGCUCCCAGCUGAGGACUCUUGUCAUGCAUCACAACUGUCUUCACCUGCUUUUAGUGGCCCCAUCAGACUCAUUGUAUUAAGGGAGCUCAUUAAAAAUGGCAAUGAUGGUGUCCUUAAUAGGAAUGGUGAUGACAAGGAUGGAAGUAUAACUCAACCUCAAGAAAUCGACCUCAGGCUUAGAUUUAGCCUGCAAGGUAGGAUAUCAAACAACAGGGAACUUGACAAUCAGGAUGAAGACAUUCUUCAGACACUGCGGUUAUUACACCAGGAUGUUUUACAGUCACGUUUCUCACUCGUCUGCUGAAUGCAACUGUUCACAGUCAUAGUGAUUAUUGAUUAUAUAGGCUUCAGCAAUACGUGAACCGUGAACUCCCUGAUGUUCAAGCUGGUUGUAGAAAAGGCAGAGGAAGCAGAGAUCAAAUUGCCAAUAUCCGCUGGAUCAUGGAAAAAGCAAGAGAGUUCCAGAAAAACAUCUAUUUCUGCUUCAUUGACUAUGCCAAAGCCUUUGACUGUGUGGAUCACAAUAAACUGUGGAAAAUUCUUCAAGAGAUGGGAAUACCAGACCACCUGACCUGCCUCUUGAGAAAUCUGUAUGCAGGUCAGGAAGCAACAGUUAGAACUGGACAGGCAACAACAGACUGAUUCCAAAUAGGAAAAGGAGUAUGUCAAGGCUGUAUAUUGUCACCCUGCUUAUUUAACUUCUAUGCAGAGUACAUCAUAGAAACGCUGGACUGGAAGAAACAUAAGCUGGAAUCAAGAUUGCCGGGAGAAAUAUCAAUAACCUCAGAUAUGCAGAUGAUACCACCCUUAUGGCAGAAAGUGAAGAGGAACUAAAAAGCCUCUUGAUGAAAGUGAAAGAGGAGAGUAAAAGAGUUGGCUUAAAGCUCAACAUUCAGAAAACGAAGAGGGUGGCAUCUGGUCCCAUCCCU
ensembl:lncRNA